UCGCGUGGGCUGUAAGAUCGUCAAAAUCUGAUGUACGGAACUCCAGAUAUGGCCCAAACAGCGAAAUAAUACGUGUAGCCCAAUAAAUCUGAAUUUCCAUCCAAAUUUGAGUCCAAUUAAGCUUUAUUUCUUCAAAUCCUUCCAACUUUAGGAAUUCCUUGCACUCUACAAUAAAACAUUAAAAUCUAUUAAAUAAAUAUCCAAAUCAAUGCAAAAUACAAUUAAAUAUGAGAAUAAAAUCAUCUAGAAUAUAUAUAAAAUAUACUCCAUCAGU
rnacentral:lncRNA from 1 species